rnacentral:rRNA from 1 species
UGUACACGCUGUGACUAGCAUAUCAAUAAGCGGAGGAAAAGAAACUAACAAGGAUUCCCCUAGUAACGGCGAGUGAAGCGGGAAGAGCUCAAAUUUGAAAUCUUAAAGGGUUUCCCUCUACGAAUUGUAGUUUAAAGAAGUGUUUUCUGUUGAGGUUUUGGUAAAAGUUCUUUGGAAUAGGACAUCAUAGAGGGUGAGAAUCCCGUAUUUGACCUUUACUUUCAACUUUGUGAUACACUUUCAAAGAGUCGGAUUGUUUGGGAAUGCAGUCCAAAAUGGGUGGUAAAUUUCAUCUAAAGCUAAAUAUUGGCGAGAGACCGAUAGCGAACAAGUACCGUGAGGGAAAGAUGAAAAGAACUUUGAAAAGAGAGUUAAACAGUACGUGAAAUUGUCAAAAGGGAAGCGUUUGACACCAGUGUUGUUUUUCUGAAAAUCAAUUAAAGAACUGUUUAUGCUAAGCUGUUUAGACUUUAUCAGCUAUCUGUUUAGUUUUGAGCUUUUCUUUAAUGCACUUUUCAGUUAACAAGUCAACAUCAAUUUCUUUUGCUGUAAAAAAGCUUGAGGAAGGUGGCUUGAGAUUCGUCUUAAGUGUUUAUAGCCUCUUGCCUAUGCAGUCGGAGAGAUUGAGGUCUGCAGCGUAGAUCCUUCGGGGCUAAAUGCAUUUGUGCUAAGUUAUAGCAUUUUAUAGACAACUUGUUGACUAUGAUUUGUCUUGUAGCUUACUCGCUUAUGUUAUUUUACCUACGCUUAGGAUGUUGACGCGCGUGUGUGCGUG